AAGGAAUAUUGGACAAUGGAGGCAACUCUGAUCCAGCCAUGCCGCGUGCAGGAUGAAGGCCCUAUGGGUCGUAAACUGCUUUUGUACGAGAGAAAACCUAUUUACGUGUAGAUAGUUGAUAGUAUCGUAAGAAUAAGGAUCGGCUAACUUCGUGCCAGCAGCCGCGGUAAGACGAAGGAUCCAAGCGUUAUCCGGAUUCAUUGGGUUUAAAGGGUGCGUAGGCGGAUUUGUAAGUCAGUGGUGAAAGCCGAUAGCUCAACUAUCGAACUGCCAUUGAUACUGCAGAUCUAGAAUAUAGAUGAUGUUGGCGGAAUAUGACAUGUAGCGGUGAAAUGCAUAGAUAUGUCAUAGAACACCGAUUGCGAAGGCAGCUGACAAAACUAUUAUUGACGCUGAUGCACGAAAGUGCGGGGAUCAAAC
rnacentral:rRNA from 1 species